CAAGGUUAGGUCCGCAGCGCCAUCUUUGUUAUUAAUGAAACUUGUCAGUCGAAGUAAUUCAAGUUGUUUAUCUUUCAGGAAGUAAAAGGAACUGUUACAUUUUGAGUCAUCGACAUUUUUAAGCAUUAAUUAAAGCUCAUCAUAUUCAUAAUGAGUCGUGGUUCAGGUUAUAUCUAUGAUGAUGUUCCAGAUCAAAUUGGAGAAAAUCAGUAUGAAAAUCAGAGAUCUGGCCAACAAUAUGAAAUGUCAGACAUGGGGUCAAAAGGUAGCGGAAGCGUGGGUUUAACUAGACGCAAAACAUGGGCAGCUCAUAAUGGAGCUGAUUUAGAAACAGCUAGAUUAUUAGAAAAUCUACCAAGCAGACAAUUAGAAAAUUUAACUACUACCCUAGGAAGGGAUACAGUAAGGCUAAAUCACAGACGUUUAAAAUCAUUCCAUGGACCAUUUCAUCAUGGUGAUGGAGAAGAAACUUCAACAGAAAUAGCUAACAUGGUUACGAAUGAUCCAGAUUUUGAUGAUCGUACUGAAGAUGAAAUUCAUACGUUGCUAAAAGGAAUGACAACAACUCUUUCCAGUAAAAGAGCUAUUCGACGAAAAGUUAGCAGUAAAAGAAAGCGUCAACUUGGCUGGUUUACAAGAGUAAAAUAUAAUAUUGGAAUGAGUUGGCAACAUUUUAAGUACAGUAUAGCUGAAGUAAUGUACUCACUAGAACUAUGGAAAUCUCAUCUCAAAUUGAUUGAAGGUCAUUUUGGAACUGGAGUGACAUCUUACUUUCUGUUUUUAAAAUGGUUGUUUCUAAUUAACAUCCCAGUCUUCUUUCUUACUCUGGGUUUUGUAGUAUUACCACAAGUGUUAUACCGAUGGUAUGAACAUAUACCAACAGGUUACCAACAAACAAAUACCAAUAAGAGCUUUACCGGUGCUGAAUUACUUGAUGGUCGAGGUUGGUUUGAAAAUACCGAGCUUUACUAUGGUUUUUAUACAAAUGAAACAAUAGAAAUAUCUUCAGGAUAUAAAUAUCACAUGAGAUAUGCUUAUUUAUUUACUUGUGGUGGCUAUUAUUUACUCUGUCUUAUUAUCUUAGCUACAAGUAUUCUACGAUCGUACAGAAAGUAUUAUAUAGAAGGAAGUGGUGAUUUUAAUUAUUAUUUUAAAGUAUUUAAUGGUUGGGACUAUGGCAUAACAUCACAAGAAGCGGCCAUAUUAAAACAUAAAAGUCUAUAUUCAGAGUUGGUUGAAUAUUUAGCGGGUUUCAAAGCUCCAAAGGAUAAAAGUUUAACUGCAAAAUGUCAGAUCUUCUGGUUAAGAGUUCUGACUAAUACAACAGUUUUAGCUCUGCUAGCCUCAUCUGGCUAUCUUAUCUACUAUAUCUCAGUUACUAUGGAAACAAAAGAUAUUGCGUGGUUAGAUGUAUUUGCUAUGCCUCUAUGUAUAACAGCUAUAAAUUUAUUAUUACCGCUAGUGUUCCAUGGAUUAGAACAACUCGAGGAUUAUAGUAAACCAAAAACAGAAUUAUAUGUUCAUAUGGUCAGAACUAUGACUCUAAAGGCUGUAACUUUGUGUGUUUUGGUCAAUUUCUGGUAUGGAAGGUCAUCAAGAAGAAUGUGUUGGGAGACAUUUAUGGGACAAGAGAUAUAUCGUCUUGUUAUUGUUGAUUUCAUUUUCACACUUUUGGUGACAUUCUUAUUUGAAUUUGUUAGAAAAAUAAUGGCAAAAUAUUGUGUAAAAAGGCUAUCAUUACCAGAGUUUAAUAUUGGAAGAAAUACACUGGAUCUGAUUUAUUCCCAGACUCUGUGUUGGUUGGGAACAUUUUAUUGUCCGUUAUUAUCCUGUAUUGUUUUGAUCAAGCUGUUUAUUAUCUUCUAUGUUAAAAGGGUUAGUGUAUUACAGAAUUGUAAGCCAUCCGUAAGACCAUGGAGAGCUGCAAGGUCACACACCAUCUUUCUGGCUUUUUUGUUUUGUUUCUUCUUUUUAUCUACUGUAGCUGUAGCAUGUGGUAUUAUUUUUGUUCUACCUAGUGAAGAAUGUGGUCCAUAUAAAGGACAGAAUCAGACCUACGAAAUUGUAACUGAGUUAAUAGAUGAUUGGAGGGAAGAUGAACCAUGGUUAACCUAUAUUAUAGAUUUUAUAUCAUCUCCUGGUUGUAUAGCUGCUAUUGUUAUACUUUUAGGAAUGGGGACAUAUUAUAUACGACUAGUUAUGAUUGGUCAUAAAGAAAUGGUGAUAUUAUUAGAACAACAACUGGCUCUGGAGGGAAAAGAUAAAAACUUUCUAUUACAAAUACUUCAAAAUGUCAAUAAACAGAAUAGAAAGAUAGAUAAAAAGACACCUGAUCGACCAUUUGCUUCUCCUUCUGAUGAUGUAGAAAGUAUUACAUCUCCAGAUGGUGACCUUUCUUUCGAAAGACUAUGAUAUUUCAAUAGAUGUUGACCUCUCUUCUCAAAGACUUAUCAAGUAAAGCAGGGUGGAAGAAAAUUUAUUCGACAAGUUGCUGAAGCUUCAGCUCGUGGUGGACAGAUGUGAGAUAAUUUUUUAACAGCAAUCUCGUUGAUCAGAAUUUUUAUAUAUUUAUCUGAAUUUCAUACAAAAAUGGGAUCAAAAUGUUUUCCGUUUGUAUAUGUAUAUUUAGCUUUUUUCACGUUGAGGAGAUUUGAUAAGCUAACUUAUGUUAUUAUGUUAAUAAAAUUUUAGAUACUAUAUUUUACCAUUUAUUAUUUAAUAUCUUGAAUGAUAGUAAUUAUUUUAUUGUAAUAUUUUACUAAAUCAAAAUAUGAGUAUGGAUGUUUAUAUUUAUUACAUUGUAAUUAAAUUGAAUGAAAUAAGCUUUAAUGUUUAACAUGAAACUCUAGUUAUGCUUUAACUGCCAAUAAAAACUUGACCUAAUGUAUAGUCUAGAAAAUCCAGAAAAAAAUGUAAUGCUUUACCUUGUAAAAUAUUUUAUUGCUAUUUUGCUAUUUAUUAAUAUUUUAUAUGGUGGUUGAGGUUGCAUCUACACUGUACAUUGAUUUGUCAACUUUAAUUUUAUGUGUUUUAAAGCUCCUAAUUAUAUUUUUGCACAGAUGAUUUCCACUAGUAAAUUUAUGAAAUGACAUUUGAUUUCUUACUAGUAAGUAAUUAGAUGCUCUUGUCACCACAGUGACUAUUAUGCCAAUUAUAGAACUGAAACAAGGAUUCGAUAUUGACAAUCAUCAUAGCACCUUCAAAAAUUGUUAGUUUUAUGUAUUGCAUGUUCUUAUUGAUUCAUUUGAUAUAUAUUAUGAAAUUUGAUUAAAUAUGCAAUCUACUGUCUUUCAUAUUCCAAUUUCAAGCAUUAUCUAUAAUCUAUGUCAUUGCUGUUUGAUAUUUCUAAUAGCAUUGCACAUAUUUACGAUUACAUUUGAUAUAUGUAUUCUAUAUUGUGUUCAUUAUUAUAUAU